UUAACUUUUGUUCAAGCCUGUCUAGAUCUUUUAUCAGUCUAGAAAGAUGUUGGAGAAAAGACAUCAUCCUCUUCUAUAAUCUCCAUCUGUAAUUAGACUAACAACUGGACCAGUCAAUGCAGGCAACUUACUCUCCAUUCGACCUUGCAGGUCACACCAUGGUCUCAAGAGGGAAAAUGAGUGCUCUAUGGAUUGAACAGAAAAAGGUGAAUCAAAACUCCAACCAUCUGUAUGAGGGUCUGGAUGGAUAAAGGAUGCCCACUGGAGCUGGAAAUGAUGGAUCAGGUCAUUUUCAUUUGUCACAUUUACAAAGAAGCACACUCUAAGGAUUGCGUUACCCUGUCUGUGGCAAAUACACUAGACAAAAGUAUUGGGAGGCCUCAUUCUAAUAAACAUGUUUAUUUAUUCCAGUAUGUCCAAUCAAAACAAAUAAAAAUGCUAUACCAUAUAAUACCACUACAAAUAAUUUUGAUUUUUGUUGCAACAGUUUUGUAAGUGCCUUUUUCUGUUCCGAAAUGACUACAGCUUCUUGUACAAGUCAUUGAUAGGUUUAGGUGAUGAGUUUUUGGCUAAAAACCUUUGAGUCAUAUCAAAGGUGUUAGCUGAGUUAAGGUCUGGGGUUUAUUCAGACCAGUCAAAGUUCUUCCACACCAGACUGAAUCACUAAUUUUCUGUUUGAACCUUACUUUGUUUGUAGGGUCAUUCUUAAGUUGGUAUUGAAAAGGGCCCUGCCAAAACUCUUGCUAUAAAUUUAGCAUCAAACGGUUUUUCUAGAAUAUCAUAUGCUGUAGCAUUAAGAUUUGUGCUCAUGGAAAUAAGUAAAGUAUUUAAACCUGUUUAUUAGAAGGAGGUGUCGCAAUAGUUAUGUCUAUAUAGUUUAUGUUUAACAAGCCAAAAUAACUAGGGCUGCUUCUUUUUAAGAACUUUUGGGUAUUUUUAAAUCAGCCAGAGGAAUAACAGUCCUUAAAUGUGUAAUGUACUGCCAUAAUUUUGUAAUGAUCAAACGUGAGGUCAGAUUCUUGUUAACCUACUGUGUUCUUUCUUGAUGGUUAGCCGAGUGUCCCAGGACAGAAAAUCUGUUUCGUAUGGAUCAGAGUCAGACAUUAACAUCUAAUAUGUAAUAUCUAGUGAUAUGUUUUCUUAGAUAAUGCUGUGAACAAAUGCUCUUUUACCUUGAAUAUUAGGUGGAUCCACACUUGAACCAUCUGUAUGAUGAUCUGCACCCACUGGAUCUGUAAAUGGUGGUGCAGAGACCAAGUGUAGUAGGGUACACUACUAUGCAGGUGACAUUCUUUUGUUUAUUGAAGCUAUGACAAAUAAUUUGUCUGUUUAGUUAAUGUUUUAUACAGUGUAACUGUACCUAAACAUUGUUCCUUGAGGUCCUCUGCUAUUUACAUUUUGUAUGUCUUCCUUAUUUAACACACCUUAUUCAAAUCAUCAGCUCAUUAGUAGAGAUCUUCAUGAACUGAACUGAGGCUGUGUCCAAAUGUUCACACUUGUUGUCUUUGCACUAGACUACUUACAUUAC